CAAAAAACCGCGAGCGUGUUCUCAUGCCAAAGGGUUUGGUGUGGAACACGGGUUCAUGCAGCUGGUUCCCCACUCCGUGUCAAAGUCUUUUAAAGGGGAACAUAUUCGCCUUUUUUGUGCUCUGACAGGCACUUUCUCCUGCUGGUCUGUAACACGGUGUCCUGCUUAUACAAAAGAGAAUUCUGCAGGUUCUUCAGCAGUCUGAAAAUCUUAUGAAGAUAUUUUGAGGGAGUUCUUUAUUUGACGUAGCAACUUCAUCCCGGCAUUAUGAUCUACAGAACCAGUAUUUGGCUAAUCUACAUUUUAAUGGCGGUAGUCAGAGCCACCGACUUCAGUGACCCAGAGUCCAACACAACAGAAUACGUUCCAGAGGCCACAGUCGAUCGUUUAAAAACUGACGAUCCACGUAAGUACCGGUACUACUUUCCCAUUAUUCGUAGAUACGUCAAAAGGGGGACAUAUUAAUUUCACCACGAACUCCGCUCUGUUUUUUCAUUUGCAAACCCUUACGGAGCCGCAGCAGGAAAUGGGGAUGUAGUUUACUACACCGAGUGGGGUUCCAUUGGUCCUCUCUCGCCUCGUGGGUGGAUAAAUUGUUCACUGCAUGUUGUAAUCUUACUCUCCCACAUAUCUAUAUUAAAUUUUUCUUAGUGUUCUCAUUAGUUUCAAAACUUCGAAAGACGUAAGAUAUACAAAAUAAAAACUUUUUACUUAUCUUCAUUUUCUCUUGUUGUUGACUCCAGUUUUUGCGUCUAGGGUACAUUCUUGAGGCUGAAAUUUUGCUUUUG